UUGCCCUGUCAAUUGAUUUGUCCUUUCAUUCAUUUCUUAUGUAAUAAGUACCGAAACAACUUCGGAUUAUGAUUAGUUGAUUACACUGAGUGUAUGCUGACUCAGUUUCUCGUCUUUGCUUCCAAACUCUAACAUAACAUCCUUAAUUUCUUCAAACUCAAUUCCUAGUACCACUCCACCAUACGAGGAUGUCGCAGCUUUCCAUUCAACGAG
rnacentral:lncRNA from 1 species